GGUUCCUUGGUAUAGUGGUUAUUACGUUGCCUUUACACGGCAAAUAUCGUGGGUUCGAUCCCCACAGGAGCCA